rnacentral:rRNA from 1 species
CGGCGGACGGGUGAGUAACACGUGGGUAACCUGCCUGUAAGACUGGGAUAACUCCGGGAAACCGGGGCUAAUACCGGAUGGUUGUUUGAACCGCAUGGUUCAAACAUAAAAGGUGGCUUCGGCUACCACUUACAGAUGGACCCGCGGCGCAUUAGCUAGUUGGUGAGGUAACGGCUCACCAAGGCAACGAUGCGUAGCCGACCUGAGAGGGUGAUCGGCCACACUGGGACUGAGACACGGCCCAGACUCCUACGGGAGGCAGCAGUAGGGAAUCUUCCGCAAUGGACGAAAGUCUGACGGAGCAACGCCGCGUGAGUGAUGAAGGUUUUCGGAUCGUAAAGCUCUGUUGUUAGGGAAGAACAAGUACCGUUCGAAUAGGGCGGUACCUUGACGGUACCUAACCAGAAAGCCACGGCUAACUACGUGCCAGCAGCCGCGGUAAUACGUAGGUGGCAAGCGUUGUCCGGAAUUAUUGGGCGUAAAGGGCUCGCAGGCGGUUUCUUAAGUCUGAUGUGAAAGCCCCCGGCUCAACCGGGGAGGGUCAUUGGAAACUGGGGAACUUGAGUGCAGAAGAGGAGAGUGGAAUUCCACGUGU